rnacentral:rRNA from 1 species
UACGGAGGGUGCAAACGUUGCUCGGAAUCAUUGGGCGUAAAGCGCACGUAGGCGGCUCGUUAAGUCGGAUGUGAAAGCCCUGGGCUCAACCCAGGAAGUGCAUACGAAACUGGCGAGCUUGAAUAUGGAAGAGGGUCGCGGGAUUCCCGGUGUAGAGGUGAAAUUCGUAGAUAUCGGGAGGAACACCAGUGGCGAAGGCGGCGACCUGGGCCAAUAUUGACGCUGAGGUGCGAAAGCGUGGGGAGCAAACAGG